GAUGAACGCUAGCGGGAGGCCUAACACAUGCAAGCCGAGCGGUAUUUGUCCUUCGGGACAGAGAGAGCGGCGUACGGGUGCGGAACACGUGUGCAACCUGCCUUUAUCUGGGGGAUAGCCUUUCGAAAGGAAGAUUAAUACCCCAUAAUAUAUCGAAUGGCAUCAUUUGAUAUUGAAAACUCCGGUGGAUAGAGAUGGGCACGCGCAAGAUUAGAUAGUUGGUGAGGUAACGGCUCACCAAGUCAGUGAUCUUUAGGGGGCCUGAGAGGGUGAUCCCCCACACUGGUACUGAGACACGGACCAGACUCCUACGGGAGGCAGCAGUGAGGAAUAUUGGACAAUGGGUGAGAGCCUGAUCCAGCCAUCCCGCGUGAAGGACUAAGGCCCUAUGGGUUGUAAACUUCUUUUAUACUGGGAUAAACCUACUUACGUGUAAGUAGCUGAAGGUACAGUAUGAAUAAGCACCGGCUAACUCCGUG
rnacentral:rRNA from 1 species